GACGAAUGCUGGCUGCGUGCUUAACACAUGCAAGUCGAACGGUGAAAGGGAGCUUGCUCCCUGGAUCAGUGGCGAACGGGUGAGUAACACGUGGGCAACCUGCCCCUCACUCUGGGAUAACUCCGGGAAACCGGGGCUAAUACCGGAUACGACCUGGUGCGACAUCGCACCGGGUGGAAAGAACUUCGGUGAGGGAUGGGCCCGCGGCCUAUCAGCUUGUUGGUGGGGUAACGGCCCACCAAGGCGACGACGGGUAGCCGGCCUGAGAGGGCGACCGGCCACACUGGGACUGAGACACGGCCCAGACUCCUACGGGAGGCAGCAGUGGGGAAUAUUGCGCAAUGGGCGAAAGCCUGACGCAGCGACGCAGCGUGAGGGACGAAGGCCUUCGGGUUGUAAACCUCUUUCAGUAGGGAAGAAGCGCAAGUGACGGUACCUACAGAAGAAGCACCGGCUAACUACGUGCCAGCAGCCGCCGUAAGAC
rnacentral:rRNA from 1 species